UACGAAGGGGGCUAGCGUUGUUCGGAAUUACUGGGCGUAAAGGGCGCGUAGGCGGCGUGUCAAGUCAGGCGUGAAAGCCCCGGGCUCAACCUGGGAACCGCGCUUGAGACUGGCAUGCUCGAGUUCGGGAGAGGAUGGUGGAAUUCCCAGUGUAGAGGUGAAAUUCGUAGAUAUUGGGAAGAACACCGAUGGCGAAGGCAGCCAUCUGGACCGACACUGACGCUGAGGCGCGAAAAGCGUGGGGAGCAAACAGG
rnacentral:rRNA from 1 species